rnacentral:rRNA from 1 species
UGGGGAAUAUUGGACAAUGGGCGAAAGCCUGAUCCAGCCAUACCGCGUGUGUGAAGAAGGCCUUUUGGUUGUAAAGCACUUUAAGUGGGGAGGAAAAGCUUAUGGUUAAUACCCAUAAGCCCUGACGUUACCCACAGAAUAAGCACCGGCUAACUCUGUGCCAGCAGCCGCGGUAAUACAGAGGGUGCAAGCGUUAAUCGGAAUUACUGGGCGUAAAGCGCGCGUAGGUGGUUAUUUAAGUCAGAUGUGAAAGCCCCGGGCUUAACCUGGGAACUGCAUCUGAUACUGGAUAACUAGAGUAGGUGAGAGGGGAGUAGAAUUCCAGGUGUAGCGGUGAAAUGCGUAGAGAUCUGGAGGAAUACCGAUGGCGAAGGCAGCUCCCUGGCAUCAUACUGACACUGAGGUGCGAAAGCGUGGGUAGCAAACAGGAUUAGAUACCCUGGUAGUCCACGCCGUAAACGAUGUCUACCAGUCGUUGGGUCUUUUAAAGACUUAGUGACGCAGUUAACGCAAUAAGUAGACCGCCUGGGGAGUACGGCCGCAAGGUU